rnacentral:piRNA from 1 species
UGACUUGGAACUGCAUCUGGAUGUGGA